CAGUAGCCGCGGUAAUACGUAGGGUGCAAGCGUUAAUCGGAAUUACUGGGCGUAAAGCGUGCGCAGGCGGUUAUAUAAGACAGAUGUGAAAUCCCCGUGCUCAACCUGGGAACUGCAUUUGUGACUGUAUAGCUAGAGUACGGCAGAGGGGGAUGGAAUUCCGCGUGUAGCAGUGAAAUGCGUAGAUAUGCGGAGGAACACCGAUGGCGAAGGCAAUCCCCUGGGCCUGUACUGACGCUCAUGCACGAAAGCGUGGGGAGCAAACAGGAUUAGAUACCCCCGUAGUCCCUGUCUCUUAUAC
rnacentral:rRNA from 1 species